GACGAACGCUGGCGGCGUGCUUAACACAUGCAAGUCGAACGAAGUGGCGAACGGGUGAGUAACGCGUAAUCAACCUGCCCUUAAGAGGGGGAUAACAGUUGGAAACGACUGCUAAUACCGCAUACUGAAGGAGGGGAGUGCGUCUGAUUAGCUAGUUGGAGGGGUAACGGACAACCAAGGCGAUGAUCAGUAGCCGGUCUGGGAGAAUGAACGGCCAACUUGGGACUUGGACAUGGCCCAGACUCCUACGGGAGGCAGCAGGGGGUAAUCUUCCGCAAUGGACGAAAGUCUGACGGAGCAACGCCGCGUGAGUGAUUACGGCCUGCGGGUUGUAAAGCUCUGUUAAUCGGGACGCGGUACCGGAAUAGAAAGCCACGGCUAACUACGUGCCAGCAGCCGCGGUAAUUC
rnacentral:rRNA from 1 species